rnacentral:rRNA from 1 species
CCUACGGGUGGCAGCAGUGAGGAAUAUUGGUCAAUGGACGAGAGUCUGAACCAGCCAAGUAGCGUGAAGGAUGACUGCCCUAUGGGUUGUAAACUUCUUUUAUAUGGGAAUAAAAUGUUCCACGUGUGGGAUUUUGUAUGUACCAUAUGAAUAAGGAUCGGCUACUCCGUGCCAGCAGCCGCUGUAAUACGGAGGAUCCGAGCGUUAUCCGGAUUUAUUGGGUUUAAAGGGAGCGUAGGUGGGUUGUUAAGUCAGUUGUGAAAGUUUGCGGCUCAACCUUAAAAUUGCAGUUGAAACUGGCAGUCUUGAGUACAGUAGAGGUGGGCGGAAUUCGUGGUGUAGCGGUGAAAUGCUUAGAUAUCACGAAGAACUCCGAUUGCGAAGGCAGUUCACUGGACUGCAACUGACACUGAGGCUCGAAAGUGUGGGUAUCAAACAGGAUUAGAUACCCUUGUAGUC